rnacentral:snoRNA from 1 species
ACAUCAAUACUGGGUAUCUAUUGUUGCACUGAGAACUACACUUGAUGCAAGAAAAAUGUCCUCAUGUUUUCUAUCUGCCUGAUCGUGGCAGCCAAGAUUGAAUAGAGGAAUACAGAG